CAGUGGCACCAGGAGGUGGUCCCGCACAAUUCUAUCAAAAUUACACGAACCUGAGGCUUUCCGGAGUGACCAAAAUACAGUUUUGGAGAUUUGAUGUGGAUUUUGACAAGAAAGUGAUCGCUUUUGACUUCACGAAUCCUGAAUUGGUGUUGAAUUUUACUUAUGACGUGGGGGGACAUAUUUUAGCUUUUCCGUUGACUGGACACGGGCCUGGACUUAUCAUUCUGAGUAAUUUGCUUUCUAACUACAGUUGUCACUUUGAAGAAUAUGAGAAAAAUGGCGAAAAACACUACAGAGUAACACGAAG